AAUAAAUGAAGGGUCAACAAUUUAUUCUAUUAAAUCACAAUUAACAUGUUUACCCUUAAAAGGUAAAUACAAUAUUUAAGGGUACAUUUUGCAACUUAACUUUGAACUAAACUGUAUUAGAAUA